GAACACUAUUGCUGAAGUGAUGUAGAAAAGGAACAGUGAGCAAACAGGAAGAAGCAAAUCCUUCUCAUUUUCCUGCCUUCUAGUGCUCCCAUUAGCAGACUCAAAUGGGAGAGAUCUGGUUUGCACUCAGGAUCAAACAUGCGGUACCAACAGUCUAGCAGCAGAGCCACAGAGACAGAUGGUUACUCCAGGACAUCCUCCUCAGUCUCAGGCUUCAACCUCAGUUAGAACGGAGAGACAAGAGAAGACAAUAACAGAAGACUUCAUGAAGAAAUGAUCCAUAUGAGAGCUGAGAUCACCUAACAGAGCAGAAGGAAAAAAAAAUGGAACGGAAGGAGCCAAAGACCCAUACUAGGGAAGCAGUGUUUUCCUUUGUUUCCCAAAUCAGGUGGAACGCUCUUUCCUACAAACAGGGACACUACCAUUGAAAGACCACCAUGAACAAAGGACUUGCCUGUUUCAGCUGAGUCACUCUUACUGCAGUUAGGGCUUUGGGGGUCAUCACCUCAAGUUGUUUGCUUAAUGGUGGGGUUUUUCCUUUGCAUGAAAAUCUGGGGAAUUUGUCUCAAAUGUGGUUUCUCAGGCUCUAUACCCAGCUAUUUUUUUUAAUUCAAGUAUAAUUUAAAGUACAGUAUUAUGUUAA